AUAACUCAACUCCAAAAUUCUAUUUUACUGUGAUUUUUUUUUGCUUAAACAACAACUUGUUAAUAAGGUGAAUGGGAUUACAACCACAAUAAACUUUAACCCAACAUAUAAACGACGCGAUCUGAUACUAUCUAGGAACACUAAGUUGAAUCCUACGCAAUCUGAUCUAAACAUCGCUGUAUUUUCCACCAUGACAAAAUGAGUAUAGCUCACUACCCGAGCUGAAAUUUCUUGAACCCUAAAUUUGACCACAUAACUGAGAUCGUAAAUUACACAAAUAGACCAUGAGCUGACUCCGGGAUUCAAUCAAGUACAAACUAUUAAUCACCACAUAUUACCAUGAAGAACAUGGAUUAACAGUAACACCGAGGUGCUUUUGAAUUCGACCCAAGACUAUCGGUAAUCAAACACACGAUUCCUAGCCAACAAGGAGCCGGAAAUACUCCACGACUCGAAGUAUUCCAACUUUUAAAACCUCCUAAAUUCGACCUCAAUAAUACGAUAACAUCUACUAACUCAAA
rnacentral:lncRNA from 1 species